UCGAGCCUACGGGGGGCAGCAGUGGGGAAUAUUGCACAAUGGGGGAAACCCUGAUGCAGCGACGCCGCGUGAGUGAAGAAGUAUUUCGGUAUGUAAAGCUCUAUCAGCAGGGAAGAAGCAAGACGGUACCUGACUAAGAAGCCCCGGCUAACUACGUGCCAGCAGCCGCGGUAAUACGUAGGGGGCAAGCGUUAUCCGGAUUUACUGGGUGUAAAGGGAGCGUAGACGGCAUGGCAAGUCAGAUGUGAAAGCCCGGGGCUCAACCCCGGGACUGCAUUUGAAACUGUCAGGCUGGAGUGCCGGAG
rnacentral:rRNA from 1 species